rnacentral:rRNA from 1 species
AUUGAACGCUGGCGGCAGGCCUAACACAUGCAAGUCGAGCGGGGUUUUCGGACCUAGCGGCGGACGGGUGAGUAAUGCGUAGGAAGCUGCCCGAUAGAGGGGGACACCAGUUGGAAACGACUGUUAAUACCGCAUAAUGUCUACGGACCAAAGUGUGGGACCUUCGGGCCACAUGCUAUCGGAUGCGCCUACGUGGGAUUAGCUAGUUGGUGAGGUAAUGGCUCACCAAGGCGACGAUCUCUAGCUGGUUUGAGAGGAUGAUCAGCCACACUGGAACUGAGACACGGUCCAGACUCCUACGGGAGUCAGCAGUGGGGAAUAUUGGACAAUGGGCGCAAGCCUGAUCCAGCCAUGCCGCGUGUGUGAAGAAGGCCUUCGGGUUGUAAAGCACUUUCAGCGAGGAGGAAGGGUGGUGUGUUAAUAGCACAUCAUUUUGACGUUACUCGCAGAAGAAGCACCGGCUAACUCUGUGCCAGCAGCCGCAGUAAUAC